rnacentral:misc_RNA from 1 species
ACCGAAUUUGAAAACCUUCAAUUGAUUCAUUAACAUGCAAACAUCAACUACAUGAUCAUAUAAACAAUACAUAUUGGCUUCAAAUUGGUGUUAAGGAUCUUGUGAAUAGGGAGUAUGUACCCUCUAUCUCUAUCUUGUCCCUGAUAAGUUUUCUCCAUAUCUGCUUCACAAGACGAAAUUAAAGAUAAGGAUUGAUGGCCUUAUUUGGGACAAAUCAAUGAGAAAUCACCCUCCAUAGCAAAUAAUACACAAUCACCCCUAAAG